UACGUAGGGUGCAAGCGUUAAUCGGAAUUACUGGGCGUAAAGCGUGCGCAGGCGGUGAUGCAAGACAGAUGUGAAAUCCCCGGGCUCAACCUGGGAACUGCAUUUGUGACUGCAUCGCUGGAGUGCGGCAGAGGGGGAUGGAAUUCCGCGUGUAGCAGUGAAAUGCGUAGAUAUGCGGAGGAACACCGAUGGCGAAGGCAAUCCCCUGGGCCUGCACUGACGCUCAUGCACGAAAGCGUGGGGAGCAAACAGG
rnacentral:rRNA from 1 species